GAAAAUAUUUACAAUUAAUUCUACAUAUGUUUCCUUAUCCAGUUAAAGUUGGUUCAAAAUUGUGAAAGACAGAAUGCGUUUGGCUGUGAGCACAAUAUAUCUGGCUUUCUGGAUGGUACACUUGGGGUCAGAAAAUGGACAUGCCGAUGAGAGCCAUUUGGAGUUCCCGCCACGAAGUCCAAAUUAUGAUCACAAUAUUUUUCAUCAGCGACAGUUCAAUGCAUCUGAAAAUAUUACAGAUGCAUUCAAUUACGGUAUUGAAGAGACGACCUGGAGAUUACAGGCCGAGUUGAGACGGGUAAAGCUCGAGUUGAUAAGUAGAUUAUGCGGAAAGCCUGGCAGGAAAUGUCGAAAUAUUGCGGAUUGUUGCUCAUUAAACUGCACACAGCGGCCUAGAAGGUGUGUGUAAAAUUAUUUUUAGGUUUUCGGAUAUUAAUAAUUCAAUUUUAUAUAAUUUAAUAAUAUUGAAAACAACAACAUAACAGUUUGCAUCUAUUUGUUUAUUAAUUGCAAACUGGCAGUCAAAUUUAUAAAAUAAAUCAGAUUAAUGAUAAA